UGAUCCUGGCUCAGGAUGAACGCUGGCGGCAUGCCUAAUACAUGCAAGUCGAACGGAGUGAAGCCUUCGGGUUUCAUUCAGUGGCGAACGGGUGAGUAAUACGCAGGGAACCUGGCCAUGGCAGGGGGAUACACUCUGGAAACGGAGCAUAAGACCCCAUAGGCAGUAAGGCGGCAUCGCCUUACUGUUAAAGAAAGCUGAAAGGCUUUGGCGAUGGAUGGACCUGCGGUGCAAUAGCUUGUUGGUGAGGCAACGGCUUACCAAGGCGAUGAUGCAUAGCCGGCCUGAGAGGGCGGACGGCCACACUGGGACUGAGACACGGCCCAGACUCCUGCGGGAGGCAGCAGUAGGGAAUUUUCGUCAAUGGGCGCAAGCCUGAACGAGCAAUGCCGCGUGAGUGAGGAAGGUCUUCGGACUGUAAAGCUCUGUUGCCGGGGAAAAAGGGGAAAUGCAGGAAAUGGCAUUUCAUGGAUGGUACCCGGCCAGAAAGCCACGGCUAACUACGUGCCAGCAGCCGCGGUAAUACGUAGGUGGCGAGCGUUAUCCGGAAUGAUUGGGCGUAAAGGGUGCGCAGGCGGUCUGUUAAGUCUGAAGGCAAAGGGAUGAGCUCAACUCAUUUAUGAUUCAGAAACUGGCAGACUUGAGGACAGGAGAGGGCGGUGGAACUCCAUGUGUAGCGGUAAAAUGCGCAGAGAUAUGGAAGAACACCAGUGGCGAAGGCGGCCGCCUGGCCUGUGACUGACGCUGAGGCACGAAAGCGUGGGGAGCAAAUAGGAUUAGAUACCCUAGUAGUCCACGCCGUAAACGAUGAGGAGCAGGUGUUGGGAGUGAAAUCUCAGUGCCGAAGCCAACGCAGUGACUCCUCCGCCUGGGGAGUAUGCACGCAAGUGUGAAACUCAAAGGAAUUGACGGGGGCCCGCACAAGCGGUGGAGUAUGUGGUUUAAUUCGAAGCAACGCGAAGAACCUUACCAGGUUUUGACAUCGGAUGCGAAGGUGCAGAGAUGCGCUGGAGGCUAUCAUCCAGACAGGUGGUGCAUGGUUGUCGUCAGCUCGUGUCGUGAGAUGUUCAGUUAAGUCUGGCAACGAGCGCAACCCCCGUGGUAUGUUACUAACGCUUAGGGCGAGGACUCAUAUCAGACUGCCGGUGACAAACCGGAGGAAGGCGGGGAUGACGUCAAAUCAUCAUGCCCCUUAUGACCUGGGCUACACACGUACUACAAUGGCGUCUACAGAGGGAAGCGACCCUGAGAAGGGAAGCGAAACCGGAAAAGGGCGUCCCAGUUCGGAUUGAAGUCUGCAACCCGACUUCAUGAAGAUGGAAUCGCUAGUAAUCGCGGAUCAGCAUGCCGCGGUGAAUACGUUCCCGGGCCUUGUACACACCGCCCGUCAAACCAUGGAAGCCGGCAACGCCCGAAGCCGGUGGCAUAACCUUUUAGGAGUGAGCCGUCGAAGGCGGGGCCGAUGACUGGGGUUAAGUCGUA
rnacentral:rRNA from 1 species